CUUAAGACUGUAUGUACUCUAUGCUUGCCCUCUCUCACUGAAACAUACACAACUAAACUUUUGCUAAGUGUUUAUGAGCAGAAGAAGCAAUGUGUAAUGCUUAUCUCGACUUUAUUGUCAAUGCAGUUGCAGAGGCAGUUGGAGAGUGCUGAUUUCGAUACCAGUGCGUCAAUAUUCACUCCGGAGCAGAUCCAAGGGAUUGUUGAGAAAUACUCCAGUUCACAUAUUUCAAGAGUGGCACUUGUUGAAACCGCCCGCCUGGCUCCCGCGGCGAAAAUCGCCGCCACCCCGCUAUCGAUUCCCACCCAAGCGGCUGGCCUCCUUGCGGUGGUGUUCUUCACCCUCUUUCAUCACCAUGAAGCAGAUCGUCGUUGUGCCGCUGUCCGGCACUGGCUUGCUUGCAGAAUUUAUAUAGGCCUUUCAAUGUCCUCAUUGUCAAGGAGCUGUCUCGGAAUCAAUAAGCAAAGGCUAGCUUGCAGAUGUGCAGAUGAGGGACAUGAAAGGAGCGAAGGAAAGGGAACGGAACGAGCGAAGAAAGGUUGGGCUAGCUCCAAUGGAGUUAGGACGGCAUGGAGUCAGCAGACGGGGGAGCGCAGGCGCUAGGCGGCGAUCACGGGGCUCCACGUCUACCAUCGGGGCGGCGUGCUCGAUCUGCAGAGGACACGACGACGACAGGGGUAUGUAUCCCCUUGAAAGAAAAUCAGUUCAUAGAGCCUCUGUUUGAGUUUAUUGUUUCUGAAUUGUUGUCCCUGUUUCAUGUUCACUAGAGAAACAAAAAGGUUACAAAUUCAUCUAAUUUCAAUGAUCAUGAAGAGGGGAACAAGUGAUAUGUAUUCAAAUUUGUGGUCUUUCGUCUUCCCAUGAUCUUUCUGGAGUACAGAUAUUCUUUUUCAUAUGCCUGCAACAUUUGCGUUGAAUUUAUAUGAUGUUGCUCCUUAAUUAUUUACACUGAUUGAUGUACAACAAUAUGAGUGCUGCCCUCUAGAGGAGCAUCAAGCUCUAACACUAUGCGCUUGCUCAAGUAGAUCGAGAGCAUCAACGCCCGAAGGAGAUAUGGAGGGAGAGAAAUAAGUCUGACAUGAAUAAGGCCGGCCGGUUUUCCAAGAUUGAAAAUGGUGUAUCAUGGCGCAACAAUCAUGAUAUCGAUCAAAUGUGAGGCCUCUUUCUAACAAUCAUGUAUGACGGCCAUUUUUUGUUUGUCUACUGUCUACUGUAGCAUCACAUCGCAUAUUUAAAUACGAGGGGACACAUUACAAAACAACCAUACUGUAUAUCACUGUCCAGCACUUCACUUACUACAACUUGAUGGUCUACCUUCAUCUUCAUAAAGGGCCCAUUUUUUGCAUGCUAUUAUAGCUUAGAAAGAGCAAUCUCCCCUGCUCUAACUUAUUCUCUUAGUUGUCAGAGUGCAAUUACUUUUACCAUGAGUGAAUAUGUUCCCUUUUCUUCAUUCAUUUUGCUCAAUAUAUACAUGGAGGACUAUGUUUUCUGAAGAAUAUCCAAUAGUAAAGAGGGAUUUGGCAGUUUACUUUACCUGAUACAUCAAUCCCUUGCUCUAGCUGUUGUCUGUAGUGAAAAAGGGAUUAUUUGGCUUUUAGCCAAUGUCUAACCAAUUUAUUAAAGCAACAUAUAUAUUAGUUGGGCCAUUAUACCAAAUUAUUUACGUAUUUGUGCUC